GCGUCGGUGGUUCAGUGGUAGAAUACUCGCCUGCCGCGCGGGUGGCCCGGGUUCGAUUCCCGGCCGACGCA
rfam:Ixodes scapularis strain Wikel colony gcontig_1108378549966, whole genome shotgun sequence.